UACCCAGACUCCUACGGGAGGCAGCAGUGAGGAAUAUUGGUCAAUGGGAGGAAUCCUGAACCAGCCAUGCCGCGUGCAGGACGACGGCUCUACGAGUUGUAAACUGCUUUUGUACCGGGGUAAAAUGCCUUACGAGUAGGGUUUUGAAAGUACGGUACGAAUAAGGAUCGGCUAACUCCGUGCCAGCAGCCGCGGUAAUACGGAGGAUCCGAGCGUUAUCCGGAUUCAUUGGGUUUAAAGGGUGCGUAGGUUGUUUUAUAAGUUAGCGGUGAAAUACCGAUGCUCAACAUCGGGGCUGCCGCUAAUACUGUAGGACUAGAGAUCGGAUGCAGCAGGCGGAAUGUGUAGUGUAGCGGUGAAAUGCAUAGAUAUUACACAGAACACCGAUUGCGAAGGCAGCUUACCGGCGCUCAACUGACGCUGAGGCACGAAAGUGCGGGUAUCGAACAGGAUUAGAUACCCGUGUAA
rnacentral:rRNA from 1 species